AGAGUUGAUCCUGGCUUAGGACGAACGCUGGCGGCGUGCCUAACACAUGCAAGUCGAACGAAGUAUGUUUUCGGAAUAUACUUAGUGGCGGACGGGUGAGUAACGCGUGAACAAUCUGCCCUAUACAAAGGAAUAGCCUCGGGAAACUGGGAUUAAAACCGUAUAACACUUUAUCAUCGCAUGAUGAAGAAGUCAAAUUGAUUAAGAGGUAUAGGAUGAGUUCGCGUCUGAUUAGCUAGUUGGUGAGGUAAUGGCUCACCAAGGCGACGAUCAGUAGCCGGCCUGAGAGGGUGAACGGCCACACUGGAACUGAGACACGGUCCAGACUCCUACGGGAGGCAGCAGUGGGGAAUAUUGCACAAUGGAGGAAACUCUGAUGCAAGCGACGCCGCGUGAGUGAAGAAGGUCUUCGGAUACGUAAAACUCUGUCCUUGGUGACGAAGAAAAUGACGGUAGCCAAGGAGGAACGCCCCGGCUAACUACGUGCCAGCAGCAGC
rnacentral:rRNA from 1 species